rnacentral:rRNA from 1 species
UACGAAGGGUGCAAGCGUUGCUCGGAAUUAUUGGGCGUAAAGGGUUGGUAGGUGGUCUUGUUUGUCUAAGGUGAAAUCCCAUGGCUUAACUGUGGAAGUGCCUUAGAAACGGCAAGACUAGAGUCCUAGAGGGGUUUGUGGAAUUCCCGGUGUAGCGGUGAAAUGCGUAGAGAUCGGGAGGAACACCAGCGGCGAAGGCGGCAAACUGGAUAGGCACUGACACUCAACAACGAAAGCGUGGGGAGCAAACAGGAUUAGAAC